UUAAAAUAUAAUUCAUAUCACCUGUUCCCUCCAAUUCAAACCCCAAAUUUUGGAUUCCCUCCCAUUGUCCUCCCUCAAAUUAUUAAAUUCCCUCUAAUUCCAGUUUUAAUUUAGUUUCACCAUACUAAUACCCUUGUUGAUACUCUCAAUUUUCCAUUCUUCCUUUUAUCCCCGUCCUAAAAUCACUCUUUUACUCUUUCUAAUCUUCCCUAUUUAGCCCGACCGCACGAGUUUCCGGAAAAGGUUCUCAAAGGUCCAUACAAAGAGGUUCGAGACUAAACUCGAGAUCCCUUCCGCGGUCAGGGGUACCGUGCAACUACCCUUUUAUUUAGCCCGAUGCAGUUGCCGGAACUUUCAUGGGAACAAGACGGGGGUGAAACUCCUUAUGGAGGAAAACUAUCCCUUCAUCUACACCACUAACCGAUUGGGAGUUUCCGGUGACCCACAAAAAUGGUAAACAAUCUUAGCCACCAGUGGGUUUCGAGUUUAGUCAAAUCAGAGGUGAAGUGUUUCUUUGUGCGAAAACAGUUAUGGACGUAAGAGAGGAUGUUUAGGACCAAUUGUGAUGAGAAGCGGUUGAUGAGGAAGCAAUCAGAUGACCAAUUGAAUUGCAUUCGCUAGAUACAUCAAUCUCACACAAGAUUGGAUAGAUAAUCAUUAUCGAGUAUGGGUUCUUUCAAAACGAAGGAGGUUAUGGAAACUGGGCACUUUUAAAACCAUUCAUCUAGAUGGCUGCGCUUGAUUUCUAGGUUUGUUAGAAAGUGACAAAGUUUGGUAUUAAUGUGUUAUUAUUGAUGGUGAUAUUCUAAUGUAUUAGUACUUGCGCCACGGUUGAAGGAUCAAAUGGCAGAGUUGAAACAAGAUGAAGCAUGAUAUGAAGGAGAAAUUUGUAUCUUUAUAUUGUUAGGUUUCAAUAAGUUUGAUAUUUUUUUCCUAUUUCGUUUGUAUAUUCAUCUUCGGUGUGAUUUGUAUAUAUGUAUUUAAAAUUUAAA